AAUUUAAAAGUCCGGGGGCUUAAUAGCAAAACUGCCCUUGUCAAAAAGUUCGGAAAAGCUAAGAGACACCGGGAAGACAGGAGGAGCUCGGAGCCUCACUGAGAAAGAACGAUGCCCUCCUGUAAGCUGUGAUGAAAAGACACCGGGAGAAACUCGUCCUCUAAAACUCAACAAGAAAAGUAGAUCUACGAACCAGUAAGACAAUUUUUUUCUUUUUUUAUUCUGUGUGUUUUUGGCCGCCGCGCCGCGCUCUCACAAACACGCACACAUGCACGCACACUGACUUUUACAUCCUCCCCUCUCUGUCUCUUUGCUGUGAAUUGCUAUGUCUUGUCAUGGCCGCCGCGUCAUGACUGCUUGUUGGUCUGCUUGAAAUGUUUUUAUGUGUUAUAUGUGUCAUAUGUGUCUUUGCUUGGCUGCCGCGCCAAGACUAUAUUUUAAAAAAAAAAAAAAAAAACAUCCGCCGACAUAGCCCUAGUCU